GAACCGUGCGAACGUUGUUCGGAAUCACUGGGCUUAAAGGGCGCGUAGGCGGGACGGCCAGUCUGUGGUGAAAUCCCCCGGCUCAACCGGGGAAUUGCCGUGGAUACUGCCGUCCUCGAGGAGGGUAGGGGCACCUGGAACGAGCGGUGGAGCGGUGAAAUGCGUUGAUAUCGCUCGGAACUCCGGUGGCGAAGGCGAGGUGCUGGACCCUUUCUGACGCUGAGGCGCGAAAGCCAGGGGAGCAAACGGGAUUAGAUACCCCGGUAGUCCUGGCCCUAAACGAUGAGGACUAGAUAGCGGACCGGACAUGGGUUCGCUGUCGGAGCAAAAGUGUUAAGUCCUCCGCCUGGGGAGUAUGGUCGCAAGGCUGAA
rnacentral:rRNA from 1 species